rnacentral:rRNA from 1 species
UGAGUAACCUGCCCUUAACUCUGGGAUAAGCCUGGGGAAACUGGGUCUAAUACCGGAUAUGACUCCUCAUCGCAUGGUGGGGGGUGGAAAGCUUUAUUGUGGUUUUGGAUGGACUCGCGGCCUAUCAGCUUGUUGGUGAGGUAAUGGCUCACCAAGGCGACGACGGGUAGCCGGCCUGAGAGGGUGACCGGCCACACUGGGACUGAGACACGGCCCAGACUCCGUACGGGAGGCAG